ensembl:lncRNA
CGGAGAGUCCCGGGUCAGCUCACCCCGCCAUUUUGCGCCGCCUCUCAGUUACCUAGAUUAUUUUAACCAUCUGCUUCCUCAUGAGUCUACCUGCCUCCAGUUGUAGUAAGAAGUAAAGCUAUUUGGCCAUGAUGUCAAAUUUAUGAUUUACCUCCUGGUGGGGCUACCACUGGACCCACUGGUCCCCGUCUGCAGGGAAAAGGCAAGGGAAACACGGACCACUUAGUAGCCCGUGUAGAACUCCAUUCAGAUGAGCUGGACUGGGGCAGUCCCAUCUGGGUCCAAGGCUAAGGGUACUCUCUCAGCCUUGGCUUCAAUUAGAAUCAUCUGGGGAAAUUUUUUAAAAUUCUGAUGUCUGGGUCCACCCCCUGAGCUUCUGGUUUAAUUAGACUGGGAGAAGGCCCACACGUUUAUUCUUUCUUCUGAAAUGAGCUUUCACUUAAGUAUAAAAGUAUUUUGUCCAAAAAAAGUUACAAGUCCAUCAUUCGUACAUUUUUACUUAUUACUACAGAUUUCCAUUACAAUUUUAAUUGUUGCAAAAUGUUCCGUGAACUGCACGUAUUUAACCAUUCACCUACCACUUAGUUUGUUUCCAAUUUUUAGCUAUUAUAAGAGGAAACAUAAUGAGAGCAAUCUUCACAUAAAUUUUCCUUAUGUGAAGUGUUUUGUAUUUCGUUAAGAGAAAUUCCCAGGAGUUUUAUCACCAGACAAAAUAGUAUGAAAAUAGGGGCUGGCCCUGUGGCGUAGUGGUUAAGUUAACGCGCUCUGCUUCAGCAGCCCGGGGUUUGCAGGCCCAGAUCCCAGGCACGCACCUAGCACCGCUUGUCAAGCCAUGCUGUGGCAGCAUCCCACAUAAAAUACUGUGAAAAUAGAUUAGACUCUUGAUAUUGUCCAACUGCUUUUCAAAAGGCUGUUAACCAAUUUACAAUCAUUCCAGAAUCGAUGAAAAUUUCUGUUUUACCUGGCAUCAGUUAUUUCCUAACAAAACAUUUAUUCUGCAUUUCAAGGUAUAAGUCUAUAUUUGAGGUCUGUAUUUUUUAAGAGCUCCCUAAGCAAUCCUAAGGUAGAGUCUGGCUGGAGAACAGCAGUAGGCUAGACUAAACAUUGGCCGAGUGCUGUGGUCCCUUUUCCUCAGCCUCUGGAGAUCUUGUGCUCUGAUAGCAAAGACCCAGGAAAAGAACCCCAAAGAAAUGGGCACCAAGGGAAAGAGGAGGUUUAUUCCUAAGGCCUAGGGCCAAAGUGGCCUGAGCCGUCCUUCCUGGGCCUUCCUAGGGAGGGGCUUUCUCCUCCAGGUGCCUAAUGUUGGAAGUGACUCAAAGAGAACCAAGAGCACAUGCCCCCAAAGAGGGAAAACAAGACAAAAAGGGCCUGUAAUGCAUAAUCAGGAGCCUGGAGCCUCUCCCUCAACUCUCGGAGGGUCUGCUUCCCAGUCUUCAUGCUGACUCACAGAAGCCUCUGGCUGUGCUGACCACUCCCCAUGAAAUGUGCCUCCUCCAUACCCCAUCCCCAUAGCCUUGGUUUUUUAAAUUGCUUUUUAAAUUACAAAAGAACUAUGGGUACAUCGUAAACAAAUAAUACAGAAAUAAAUAUGGCAAAAUUGGAAAGUUCCCCUCACUUCCCUACUUCCACUCCCUUUCCCAGAGGUAAGCUGGUAAUAGUUUUGUGUGUAUCUCCCUUGAUCUUUUUCUGUCCAUUUACCAAUGCUAGCGUGUCUGAGACUGUAUGUGCAUGCCUAUAGGAUUUUUUAAAUACGUAAAUGGAAUCAGGCUAUGUAUGGUUUUCUCCAAUUUGCCUUUAUUAUUUUACAGCAUAGACCACUUUCUGUGUUAAUUAAUACAGAGCUGCCUCACUCUUUCUCAUGGCUGCACAAUAACCCACGAUACAUUAAAAUAUCAUAUAAUUUAACACUUUCUGUUGCUGGAUGCUUUGGUUGCUUCUUGUUUUUCUCUAUAACAGUGCUGCAGUCAACCCCUUAGUGUGUCUUUGUGCCACCUCCCCGGCUUCCAGUAUUGCCACUGCCAGAAAACUGCUGGUGUUGGGCUCCAACUGUGCACAGCCCAGGCAAUCUCUGCUACCUCCAAGACUCAUGUGGACCUUUGAAGAACGCCACCCUGGCUCCGUCCUGGCCUCUGCUCCUGCCUUCUUGCUGGGCUGUGGAGGUCACAGCAUAUACACCUUACGGCCAGCCACCAGAGUUCUGACAACACUGCCAUGUCGUGGAAAGAUACAAAAAGUCCAGCUGGCGACCCUCUGACUCUUGGGAGGAAAGAAAGAGGGCCAGCUUCUCCAACUGCAAUCCAGUGGGAGAAAGUGUGCGAGUGGGUACCUAUCAAAGUGGUUUUCAAGAUUCUCAUUUUUUUGCCCCUGGAAUGGGGUGUGGGACUGAAACACCAGUGAAUCCCUGUCGUAGAAGAUACAAGGAGCUGAAGUGCUAGCAGAAGUUCUCCAAAGCAGCAGAUAGAAGAAAGGGAAUAUGAGUGAUUCAACAGAAGGGCCCACAAGACUCCACAGCAGGUUACAGACUCACUGAGACGUAUAAAGCAAAGGAUACAGAGCGACAGCAGCAGGAAAAAGACGUGCAUGAAUGGAGCCCAGAGAGGUUCAACACAGACUUCCAAUAUCCUUCGUGGUUCAAGGCCACACAGGAGAACUCCCUCUCACCAUUAACUGUGGGGACAUGUGUGGAAUGCCUUUGCCCAUGGAAGCCUGUUUGAGUCUCAGAGUCCAAGGCUUUUAUGGAGAUCUGGCCACACGGGUAUAUUCUGCCAUGCAACCAGCCACGACAACCAAAACUCACGACCCUCACCAUGAAACCAGGUGCACAUCACUGAUCUUGACGUUUGUACAAAGCAACCUGACAAGCAGUGAUUUAACGAUGCUGCUUCGUAAUCUCAGUACAUUUCCCUGUAGUCAGCAGAGCUGCCGAGAGACGUCAAGUCACCCUACUAGACACUUCAUGGAUGCCCAUCAGAACCUUCAUACUCUUUGGGAAAACCAUAAAAAUAGGCCAGGACAGAGCAUAUGAGACCUAGGAGGAACCACACCACCACCAGUCAACUUCCCCAUCUUAGAGACAAGCAAGUGGGAACACUGAGCAGUGAAAUGACUCACCCAAGGUUCUAAGUCUAAGGUCUUUGAAUUAAAAACCUCUCUUGGAGGGGCUGGCCCCGUGGCCGAGUGGUUAAGUUGGCGCGCUCCGCUGCAGGGGGCCCAGUGUUUCGUUGGUUCGAAUCCUGGGUGCGGACAUGGCACUGCUCAUCAAACCACGCUGAGGCAGUGUCCCACAUGCCACAACUAGAAGGACCCACAACGAAGGAUAUACAACUAUGUACUGGGGGACUUUGGGGAGAAAAAGGAGAAAACUAAAAUCUUUAAAAAAAAAAAAAAACCUCUCUUGGAACUCCUGAAAUGGGUCAAGGCAAUGUCUGCUCAGAUGCUUCUGAUUGUCUUUAACAUGGGCAGAAACUGGAGGAGUCCUGACUGUUGGAGCUGCCUGAACCAAGUGUGCAUGGGCCAAUCUCUUUCAGUCUGGCUAGGCUUCCCAUCCUUCCUUCUCUCGUCCCUUCUCCAGUGGCCUGACAGAAGCACCAGGAUUCUGUCUAGAGCAUUGCCCAUGCUAUUGGGUCAAUGGUCCAGUUUGGAACCUAGCAAGAGAUUGAUUUCAUCUUCACUAAAAUUUUUCUUCUCUUCCCUUCAUUUACUCUCUUGUCUGUUGGGGGGUGGUGUCUGUCUCUCCACUGGACUGUAAAUUCCGUGAAGGCUUCCUGGAAGCAGGUUAUACAGUGUUAUGGUUUUGGGUAGUGAAGUCAAUGGUCCGGGGUCUGAAUUCUGGUUUAGCAUCUCACUGGCUUGUGUGAUUUGAGUGAGUUACUUAGUGGAAAUACCAAUAGUUCCUCCCUCACAAGGUUACUGGGAGGACAAAAGGAAGUAAUAACACUUAAGUAGCAUAGAGUUUGGCAUACAAGAAAUGUUCAGUAAAUAUUAGCUAUUAUUUUUUAAAUAGGUACUCCAUUUAUUUUGGAAAAUUCUACUCUCUGCUCUUUUUAACAGUUUUAUUGAGGUAAUGGACAUAUAAUAUACACUGUACAUGUUUAAAGUAUACAGUGUCAUAAGUUUUGGGUUUUUUUCUCCUCUUUCUUUUAAGUGUGCUUUUUGGUGAGGAAGAUUGGCCCUGCGCUAACAUCUGUUGCCAAUCUUCCUCCUUUUUUUUUUCUCUCCAUUACAUAGUGGUAUAUCCCAGUUGUAGGUCAUUCUAGUUCUUCUAUGCGGGACACCGCCACAGCAUGGUUUGAUGAGCAGUGCAUAGAUCUGCUCCCAGGAUCCGAACCGGCAAACCUUGGGCCUCCAAAGAGGAGCACAUGAAUUGCAAACUUAACCACUUGGCCAUGGGGCUGGCCCAAACAGUGUCAUAAGUUUUGAUGUGUACACAUCUGUGAAACCAUCACCACAAUCUAGUUAAUGAACAUAUCCAUAACCCUCAAGAGUUUAUAUCCUUUUGUAAUCCCUUUCCCUGUCUACAGGAAACCAGUGUUUACUCUGUGUCUCUAUAUGUUAGCUUGCAUUUUCCAGAAUAUUAUAUAAAUGGAAUCAUAUAGUAGCCACUCUUUUUCGGCAUCUUUCACCCAGCAUUAUUCUGAGAUUCAUCCAUGUUGCUGAGUGUAUCAAUUGCUGAGUAGAUACACAGCAAUUUGUUUAUUCAUUCACCUACUGAUGGACAUUUGGGUUGUUUCCAGUUUUGAGGUAUUAGAAAUAAAAUUUGUAUUAACAUUUGUGUACAACUCUUUGUAUGGAAAUAUGCUUACAUUUCUCCUGGGAGUAGAAUGGGUG